rnacentral:tRNA from 1 species
UGCGGGGUGGAGCAGUNNUCGGGCUCAUAACCCGAAGGUCGCAGGUUCAAAUCCUGCCCCCGCUACCA